rnacentral:rRNA from 1 species
UGAACGCUGGCGGCGUGCCUCAUACAUGCAAGUCGAGCGAACAGACGAGGAGCUUGCUCCUCUGACGUUAGCGGCGGACGGGUGAGUAACACGUGGAUAACCUACCUAUAAGACUGGGAUAACUUCGGGAAACCGGAGCUAAUACCGGAUAAUAUAUUGAACCGCAUGGUUCAAUAGUGAAAGACGGUUUUGCUGUCACUUAUAGAUGGAUCCGCGCCGCAUUAGCUAGUUGGUAAGGUAACGGCUUACCAAGGCGACGAUGCGUAGCCGACCUGAGAGGGUGAUCGGCCACACUGGAACUGAGACACGGUCCAGACUCCUACGGGAGGCAGCAGUAGGGAAUCUUCCGCAAUGGGCGAAAGCUUGACGGAGCAACGCCGCGUGAGUGAUGAAGGUCUUCGGAUCGUAAAACUCUGUUAUUAGGGAAGAACAAAUGUGUAAGUAACUAUGCACGUCUUGACGGUACCUAAUCAGAAAGCCACGGCUAACUACGUG